rnacentral:rRNA from 1 species
GACACGCUGGCGGCGUGCCUAACACAUGCAAGUCGAGCGGAGUCGAUCGACGGAAGCCUUCGGGCGGAAGAUGGUUGACUUAGCGGCGGAUGGGUGAGUAACGCGUGGGCAACCUGCCUCGAAGACCGGGAUAACAGCCCGAAAGGGCUGCUAAUACCGGAUGUGGUCAAGGAUCCGCAUGGAUUUUUGAUUAAAGGGGAAACCCGUUUCGAGAUGGGCCCGCGUCCUAUCAGCUAGUUGGUGAGGUAAAAGCUCACCAAGGCGACGACGGGUAGCCGGCCUGAGAGGGUGACCGGCCACACUGGAACUGAGACACGGUCCAGACUCCUACGGGGGGCAGCAGUGGGGAAUCUUCCACAAUGGGCGAAAGCCUGAUGGAGCGACGCCGCGUGAGCGAAGAAGGCCUUCGGGUUGUAAAGCUCUGUCUGGAGGGACGAAGGAAGUGACGGUACCUCCGGAGGAAGCCACGGCUAACUACGUG